rnacentral:rRNA from 1 species
GUGGGGAAUAUUGGACAAUGGGCGCAAGCCUGAUCCAGCCAUGCCGCGUGAGUGAUGAAGGCCUUAGGGUUGUAAAGCUCUUUCAGUGGGGACGAUAAUGACGGUACCCACAGAAGAAGCCCCGGCUAACUUCGUGCCAGCAGCCGCGGUAAUACGAAGGGGGCUAGCGUUGUUCGGAUUUACUGGGCGUAAAGCGCACGUAGGCGGAUCGUUAAGUCGGGGGUGAAAUCCUGGCGCUCAACUCCAGAACUGCCUUCGAUACUGGCGAUCUUGAGUCCGGAAGAGGUGAGUGGAACUCCUAGUGUAGAGGUGGAAUUCGUAGAUAUUAGGAAGAACACCAGUGGCGAAGGCGGCUCACUGGUCCGGUACUGACGCUGAGGUGCGAAAGCGUGGGGAGCAAACAGGAUUAGAAACCCGAGUAGUCC